CCGUGAUCCGGAUCAGGGACAGUGUCUGAUGGGUAGUUUAACUGGGGCGGUUGCCUCCUAAAGAGUAACGGAGGCGCCCAAAGGUUCCCUCAGCCUGGUUGGCAAUCAGGUGUUGAGUGUAAGUGCACAAGGGAGCUUGACUGUGAGACCGACGGGUCGAGCAGGGACGAAAGUCGGGACUAGUGAUCCGGCAGUGGCUUGUGGAAGCGCUGUCGCUCAACGGAUAAAAGGUACCCCGGGGAUAACAGGCUGAUCUUCCCCAAGAGUCCAUAUCGACGGGAUGGUUUGGCACCUCGAUGUCGGCUCGUCGCAUCCUGGGGCUGGAGUCGGUCCCAAGGGUUGGGCUGUUCGCCCAUUAAAGCGGUACGCGAGCUGGGUUUAGAACGUCGUGAGACAGUUCGGUCCCUAUCCGCUGUGCGCGUAGGAAUAUUGAGAAGGGCUGUCCCUAGUACGAGAGGACCGGGACGGACGAACCUCUGGUGUGCCAGUUGUCCUGCCAAGGGCAUGGCUGGUUGGCUACGUUCGGAAAGGAUAACCGCUGAAAGCAUCUAAGCGGGAAGCCUGCUUCGAGAUGAGUAUUCCCACCCUCUUGAAGGGUUAAGGCUCCCAGUAGACGACUGGGUUGAUAGGCCAGAUGUGGAAGCCCUGUAAGGGGUGGAGCUGACUGGUACUAAUAGGCCGAGGGCUUGUCCUCAGUUG
rnacentral:rRNA from 1 species